GCUGAAAUGAGAUUUUGUAGGUUGUAUGUUCUCUUUCUACAGCUGAAACGUCUUCGGCAGUAUAUGUUAAAGACUGUCUUAACUGAAGAGAAUCAGCGGUCUGGUGUUUAAGUUGAUGGAGUCUCACACACAUUACUGCAGCAGUGUCUUCAUCUUCCCAUCAGCUGUUGUGGUUUGUCAUGAGUGACGGCUUUUUGCUGCUACUGGAGUCUUCAAAUGAUCCGGGCUGUGGGUUGAAUCCCGUCCCAUCACCUGACAAAGAUCAGUCCUUUCCUCAGGCGACAGAUCGAUGAGUGUUACAGAAGAAGUCGAAAUAUUCUGAAAAAUUCAACUCUGGCAACUCUGACAUGAGGGCUUUUGUUUAACAGCUAAAACUGUGUGUAAACGGGUAAGUGUCUCUGAAUCCAUAACUAUUCCGGGUCAUAUUUCAAAAGGAAAAAAAUCUGAGUAU